GGCGUAAUGAUGGCCAGGCUGUCUCCACCCGAGACUCAGUGAAAUUGAACUCGCUGUGAAGAUGCAGUGUACCCGCGGCAAGACGGAAAGACCCCGUGAACCUUUACUAUAGCUUGACACUGAACAUUGAGCCUUGAUGUGUAGGAUAGGUGGGAGGCUUUGAAGUGUGGACGCCAGUCUGCAUGGAGCCGACCUUGAAAUACCACCCUUUAAUGUUUGAUGUUCUAACGUGGACCCGUGAUCCGGGUUGCGGACAGUGUCUGGUGGGUAGUUUGACUGGGGCGGUCUCCUCCUAAAGAGUAACGGAGGAGCACGAAGGUUGGCUAAUCCUGGUCGGACAUCAGGAGGUUAGUGCAAUGGCAUAAGCCAGCUUGACUGCGAGCGUGACGGCGCGAGCAGGUGCGAAAGCAGGUCAUAGUGAUCCGGUGGUUCUGAAUGGAAGGGCCAUCGCUCAACGGAUAAAAGGUACUCCGGGGAUAACAGGCUGAUACCGCCCAAGAGUUCAUAUCGACGGCGGUGUUUGGCACCUCGAUGUCGGCUCAUCACAUCCUGGGGCUGAAGUAGGUCCCAAGGGUAUGGCUGUUCGCCAUUUAAAGUGGUACGCGAGCUGGGUUUAGAACGUCGUGAGACAGUUCGGUCCCUAUCUGCCGUGGGCGCUGGAGAACUGAGGGGGGCUGCUCCUAGUACGAGAGGACCGGAGUGGACGCAUCACUGGUGUUCGGGUUGUCAUGCCAAUGGCACUGCCCGGUAGCUAAAUGCGGAAGAGAUAAGUGCUGAAAGCAUCUAAGCACGAAACUUGCCCCGAGAUGAGUUCUCCCUGAGACUUUAGGUCUCCUGAAGGAACGUUGAAGACGACGACGUUGAUAGGCCGGGUGUGUAAGCGCAGCGAUGCGUUGAGCUAACCGGUACUAAUGAACCGUGAGGCUUAACCUUACA
rnacentral:rRNA from 1 species